rnacentral:lncRNA from 1 species
AUGUAUAGCGGUGGUGACCUUAAGGCAGCCUGGAAGGGUAUCAAAUGUAUGGCUUCUUGUAAUCACCAAAAAGAGGAUAAGAAACUUAUCAAUGUAAAAGGAGUGCCUGACUCUGUCCUGCCAGAUGUUUUUAAUUCAUUUUUUAGUCGGUUUGAGAGGGGGGACCUUAUUGGAAAGGUUGGGGUCUGCAAGGAAGCCCUCAAACCUAGUGAGGGAUUUGUAAUUUCACUAGACCAGGUCACCAUCUUACUUAAAAAGGUAAAGGUGGGGAAAGCAAGGGGCCCCGACGCCAUCUGUGGGCGUACCCUGCAUCACUGUGCCAACCAGUUGAGUAGUGUUUUUAGCAGAUUGUUUCAAACAUGUGUGGAUGUGGGUCAGAUUCCAUCUUUGUGGAAAACUUCGACUAUAAUCCCAAUCCCUAAAUCAAGUACUUCAAAGGAACUGUCUGACUUUAGACCAGUAGCACUCACAUCACUUGUGAUGAAAACUUUUGAAAAAAUUCUAAAAUCCGAAAUUUUAUCUCUGACAGAGGGGAGACUUGACCCACUUCAAUUUGCCUACCAGCAAAAUAAGGGGGUAGAAGAUGCAGUGCUUUGUGUAUUGAACACGGUCUACAAGCACCUUGAUAAAACGGGGACUUGUGUAAGGCUCUUGUUUGCAGACUUUUCUUCAGCCUUUAACAAGAUGCAGCCCCACAUCCUGAUUGAAAGACUUGCCAAUGUUUUUAAUUUGCCCGAUCAGCUUCUCUUACUGAUUUUGAACUUUCUUACGGGGAGGACCCAGCGGGUGUUGGUUAAUGGUCAGAUUUCUCUCCCAUUAAUGUCCAGCACCGGAUCUCCUCAGGGAUGCGUUCUGUCCCCCCUGUUGUUUAUCCUGUACACAGACAGCUGCAGGGUCACUCAGAACAACAGGUUCUUGGUUAAGUUUUCGGACGACACUGUUUUGAUGUCCUUACUUUCGGGAUCUGAAAUAAACCAUGGUCCCGCGCUGUCAGAUUUUGUAGAAUGGUGUGACAGUAACUACCUGGACCUGAACGUCAAAAAAACCAAGGACAUGAUUAUUGAUUUUAGACGCUCCGCACCACCCCACCUUGGUAGUAGCAUCAUCCACGGUGAAGUGGUGGAGGUGGUUGAAGAGUACAGAUACCUUGGUUCUUGGAUUGACAACAAGCUGCGGUUUGUCACAAACACGGACUCCAUUUUUAAACGAGCUCAGCAGAGAAUCUAUCUUUUAAGGAAAUUGAACUAUUUUAACGUGAAUAAAAGGAUUCUCUGCAACUUUUAUAGCUGUUUUAUAGAAAGCAUUUUAACAUUUUCAUUUGUUUGUUGGUACAAAGCCUUGUCCAUGAAGGACAAAAAGAAGCUGCAGAGCAUUGUAAAAAUCUGCUCCAAAAUUAUUGGCGCCAAACAAAGAGACUUACAGUCUCUUUGGGAGGAAAGGGCGCGAAAAAAGGCUAAAUGUAUCCUUGGUCAGCCCCUCCAUGCUCUGCACUCUGAGUUCUCUCUUAUGCCCUCAGGACGUCGUUAUUAUGUACCUUCUCGAAAAACAAACCGCUUUGCCAACUCCUUUGUUUCAUCAGCUAUUGAACUGCUUAACUCUGAGCCGGGAGGGGUGGCGAAAUAA